rnacentral:lncRNA from 1 species
AUAUGUGAAAAAGCAAAGAGGGCAGAAUAUAUAAUUCAUGGAGUAUAGAAUUAGUGUGCUAUGAGUUAUUCAAAUGGACAAAGAGGAACUGAGAAACUUGACAGAAUAAAAGAAUGGUUUAUGUUGAAAACAAAUUACAUCAAUACAGACUAGUUGGAACAAGUUUUCUUCAGCCAUAAAAUUAAUAUGUACUAUGUAUAUAUAUUUAUAUGGGUAAAUAAUAAUUUUAGGCUGCAUAUUGUCCAAACCAAGGAAAAUAAUACUCACUUAUACUUUUCACAUGGACUAUAAGUUGAAGGGAAAAUGAAUAUAUUUUAGAACAUCAAAAAAUGCAAGGAGAAUAGUAAAACCAUGUUACUUGGAGAGCAAUUGGGGCAUUGAAGUUGGUUAAUAUGGGAAAGAGAAAACCAACAUGAAAUGCAAACAUAUUCUUUAAUGUUUCUUCCAAAGGGCCAAAAUAUGAACAAGGUAUUUCCUUCAGUUCCUCUGCUCCACUGUGCUCAGAAUAAGGACAUGAUGGUCUAUCCAUAUUAAUCACAUUCUUAUCUUCUCUCCUCACUAAUGUAUCCUGAGUCAAGUGUCCAGCCCUGGCCCAUUCGAUCACCUCCAGGAAUGUGGAAUUUCAUGGCACAGACUUGGAUGUUGGAUUCUGCAUUCCUGGACAUGAUUGAGUGGACCAGGGUUGGACACUUGACUCAAGAUGGAUUAAUGAAGAGAGAAGAUAAGAAUGUGAUAAAUGUGGAGAAUCAUGAUCUCAUCAUCUCGGGGGAAGUGGAUCAGGAAAAUAAAAGGAAGUAA